CAAUAGCGUAUAUUAAAGUUGUUGCAGUUAAAAAGCUCGUAGUUGGAUUUCUGGUGGGAGCGAUCGGUCUGGCGCUUAGCGCGAGUACUUGCAUCGUCUCCGGCCAUGCUUGGGGAGAGUCUGUCUGGCAUUAGGUUGUCGGGCAGAGGAUCCUCAUCGUUUACUGUGAAAAAAUUAGAGUGUUCAAAGCAGGCUUAUGCCGUUGAAUAUAUUAGCAUGGAAUAAUAAGAUAGGACUUUGGUACUAUUUUGUUGGUUUGCGCACCAAAGUAAUGAUUAAUAGGGACAGUUGGGGGUAUUCGUAUUCCGUUGUCAGAGGUGAAAUUCUUGGAUUUACGGAAGACGAACUACUGCGAAAGCAUUUACCAAGGAUGUUUUCAUUAA
rnacentral:rRNA from 1 species